AGGACGGAGCAGGCAAAAGGCCAGAAAUGGCCUCCCUGAACCUAUGUCUUUGGGUUGGAGAGGAAUCCAUCAGGUAGGUAUUUGGGGGGUGAAAUCUCAAGGAAGAAGAAACAAGUACAAAGUCACAAAGGGAGGAAAAUCCCCAAGUUCAAAGCAGGAAGCGGUGCAUGUGGAGUGGCGCUGUUAGCAAGGAAGUCAGCAUUUGGAAGUUAACAUUUGGAUCUUGAAUGUUUGCCCAAGACUUUUGUGUUAUACACUUGGUCCCCACCCUCUGUGGCACACUGAGAAGCAGGGGGGUCUUUAGGUGGUGGAGGGGGGGGUCCCACAAGAGGAAAUUAGAUUAUUGUGUAUGUGUCCCCUUGAGGGAGAAGGAUGACAAGGUCUCCUAAGUCUUCCACCUCCUGCUGUUAAAUGCGUAUCCAUGGCUCUAUGCCCCCCAUCCUAGAAAGAUCACAACGGAAACCAACUCCACUUAAGACUUCUAGAAGUGCAAGAGUCUCUAGUGGCUUCAUAGUCCUUCCCAUUCUCUCUGUCAUCUUUUUUCCCUUCCCCCUUUGGCCAGUGAUGGGGCUUGAACUAAGUGCCUUGUGCUUGUAGGUUGGUACUCUGCCACUUGAGUUAUGCCUCCAGCCUAGCAUUUUGCUGAUUAUUUUGGAACUGAAGGCUAGCAAUUUUUUCUUCCUGAACUGGGUUCAAACAAGGAUCCUCCAGACCUCAGCCUCCUAAGUAGCUAGAAUUACAGGAAUAAGUCACCACACUUGGCUGAUUCUUAAACUACAACAACAAAAACAAGCAGAAAGAAAGGUGUGGCAGGCAGGGCAAGUAGGUAAGGCUCAGUGACAGCCAGGCCUGGCUCCCAG